GUGGGGAAUAUUGGGCAAUGGGCGAAAGCCUGACCCAGCAACGCCGCGUGAGGGAAGAAGGCCUUCGGGUUGUAAACCUCUGUCCUUGGUGACGAAAAAAUGACGGUAGCCAAGGAGGAAGCCCCGGCUAACUACGUGCCAGCAGCCGCGGUAAUACGUAGGGGGCGAGCGUUGUCCGGAAUUACUGGGCGUAAAGGGUGCGUAGGUGGCCUUUUAAGUUGGAUGUGAAAUACCCGGGCUUAACUUGGGGGGUGCAUCUAAUACUGGAGGGCUAGAGUGCAGGAGAGGGAAGCGGAAUUCCUAGUGUAGCGGUGAAAUGCGUAGAUAUUAGGAGGAACACCAGUGGCGAAGGCGGCUUUCUGGACUGUAACUGACACUGAGGCACGAAAGCGUGGGGAGCAAACAGGAUUAGAAACCCCAGUAGUCC
rnacentral:rRNA from 1 species